CGCAUUCUCGGCUAGUUGACUUUAACGCUAACAAAAUUAAAAAAGUGGCACUGUGCUGAGCUAGAGCAUUCUGGGUAAGUCAUUGCUCUGUUUCAAACCUGAGAGAAAGUCAGUUGCCGCAGUUUCCUGGCAAGGCACUCUAUGGUUUGGCUAGGCCAGCUCCAGACCAGGCAGGGGCCACUCUCAGAGCAAGUUGGUGCAAUUAGUUUUGCCAGUUAAAGAAAGUGGAGCAAAGUUGACUGUGGUUGUGCUUAUAUUCAUGCUAUCAAUUUAUGUUCUGAAUUACUAUUUUAAAUACAAAAUUUCAUAUAGAGGACAACACUGGCCUUUAGUUGGAACAUGAAGGAGCGUUUCAUGUAGACCUUGAGCAUUAUUUUUAGGUACAAUUGAAAAAGAAAUGUUUUUGAUUUGACUUCUCCACUGAAUUUUGACAUCAGUUUCCUGUUUUUGAGGAGUAAUUGAUCCACUCUAUCUUUUAUAGGGCUCGUCUACCGCUUCCCUUCUCAAUUAUAAGCCCUUUGUUCAUUCACCCUUCCUUGCUUCCUGGCUACGCACUGAAAAUAAACUUAUGAUGUCAUACUCAAUUGUGUAGCAUCCAAACUGAUGUCAAAACAGGGGAUUUAGACUUCGCCGCAGGAUCAAGGUGGAGAUAUUGUCUGCAAAACCAAAGCUGAUUAAAAACAACAACGCAAAACUCAAAUGUCUUCAAGGGUGCCCAAGCAGCUUUGUCAAAUGUUAAAUUAAUUUGCACAUAUGUAUUCCUUAGAUGUAGUUGCAAUGAAAAGUUUUCUCGACAUGAGACGAUUCCCAUGAGACCAGCUUUCACCAACAGCUUUCACCUCUAGCUGAUUCGGACUGCAAAUUGUGGGAAUGUUAAGGAUAGUAGGAGAGGAUAUGUUGAUUAAAUAUUAUCCUUCCUUCACUCACACUAGUGAGUCAUGUAGCAGAGCAGAUUCGCCUCAAUACAGCAGGAAGCUAGUCUGCAGAUUUGUUUGAAUCUCUUUAGUUAAGCAGUCUAGUCUGGCUUGAUCAAAGGUGUCCCCUUUGAUCCUUCUUAAAAGUAUAAAGACACAAGUAACAAUAAGUUUAAAGGUAAAGGUUAAGGGACCCCUGACCAUUAGGUCCAGUCGUGGCCGACUCUGGGGUUGCGGCGCUCAUCUCGCUUUAUUGGCCGAGGGAGCCAGCGUACAGCUUCCGGGUCAUGUGGCCAGCAUGACUAAGCCGCUUCUGACGAACCAGAGCAGCGCACGGAAACGCCGUUUACCUUCCCGCUGGAGCGGUACCCAUUUAUCUACUUGCACUUUGACGUGCUUUCAAACUGCUAUGUUGGCAGGAGCAGGGACCGAGCAACGGGACCUCACCCUGUCGCGGGGAUUCGAACCACCGACCUUCUGAUCGGCAAGUCCUAGGCUCUGUGGUUUAACCUACAGUGCCACCCGCGUCCCUAACAAUAAGUUUACUCACAGUCAGUUCACAGUGCGAUCCCUGAAGGCGGACUUUAGCUUGUCGUUACAGAACAUAGUGUGAGUUCAUCCCUUAUGGGGCUUGAGCCCAUGUCCUGCUGGCUGAGACCCAGCAGACAGCAAAACACAUUAAGAGAACAGCACCAAGAGAACAAAAUGGAUGCAUGAGAGCAGCAGGGCAUCAAUAGAAAGAUGGCUGAGUGACUCGGCUAUUUUAUGGAGUCAGCCAGGAUCACACCCGUCUACCUGGUCACAUGCAGGGGGAAGACGCUCCAGACCAGUGGAACAGGAAGUUAUACUGACUGGAGUGAAGUCCCCCUUCCUGUGUCCACUCUAGGGAAACAAGGAAUGUUGUAUUUGGCUGCUCCAAUGGAUCACAUCCCACACAAAUCGCAUCAGCCCCAGUCAGCACAGCUGGUCAAUGGGAGUCAUCGUCCAAAACAGCUGGAGGGCACCAGAUUGGUGCAGCAGACCCUCUGCCCUCCCUCCAUUUACAUAUUUGAGAACUAUGGGAUCAUGAAACCAUACUACUCAUUGCAACCUUUCCCACCAUUUGGUAGGCCUCUCACUAUUUGGUAUGAUAAUGUUGCCUUUUAGCACCAGCAUUUGACUGUUGUAUGAGCUGUAUUUUGACAACUGCAAACCAGCUGCCCCCAGGGUCUCUCAGUUUGGCUGCCUUUCCCAUCUGUUUUACCUGCCUCCCAUUUCUGAAUAAUUUAUUUUUACCAUCUGCAUAAAUUGAACACCUGGCCUAGGGGUAACUUAUUCGCUUAAAUUAUUUAGGGCUUUAAAAAUUACUCCCCGGUACCUCUUCCAUUUGUAGGCAGGCAACAUAAUUGACAGGAGGAGACCACCCCCCUCACUGUUUGCCUUUUGGGGUGGAUAGAACUUGGUAAGUGUUCUCCUUCUUUCUGAAUACAUAUUCAGAAAAUGGGACCAAAAUUGUAAGGGUACGGAAAUCCCUUUGAUAAUAGGUGUUUUCAGUUCUGGCCCUUUAAAGGAAUCUGAUGCUCUUAGUAGAAUACAGUGGUACCUCUGGUUACAUACGCUUCAGGUUAUACACUCUGCUAACCCAGAAAUAGUGCUUCAGGUUAAGAACUUUGCUUGAGGAUGAGAACAGAAAUUGUGCUCCGGCAGCAUGGCAGCAGCGGGAGGCCCCAUUAGCUAAAGUGGUGCUUCAGGUUAAGAACAGUUUCAGGUUAAGAAUGGACCUCUGGAACGAAUUAAGUACUUAACCUGAGGUAUCACUGUAUAGGGAAAGUGGGAGAUCAGGAAUUGCCCUAUUAGUUUGUUCGCUUCAGGCUUUCAUGCACUUGUAAGAUUGGUUUCAGGGUUCCCAACUGCUCAAUUUCUUACAGCUGGUUUCAAUUUUAGGUACGCCUGUUUUCCUCCAAUAUGUGGUCAUUCUCAGUAGAAGCAUCUGUCCAAAGUAGAUGUGCACCUGACUGGUGCAUAGCUGUCAACGUUUCCCUUUUUUAAAGGGAAAUUCCAUUAUUCCGAAUAGGAUUCCUCUCAAGAAAAGGGAAAAAUUGACAGCUAUGGACUGGUGCCUGGGUGGGAGCAGCUAGUACACCGGUAGCAGCUACUAUUGGUAGUAAUAUAGCUGCUGCUACAACCUGCAGCCAUAAAUAAGAGCAAAGUGCCACACCGAGCUGAUACUUCCCACACGUCAGUUGCAGCAACUUCUGCGGCCCACAGUGAUCAAAAGUAUGUCUCUCAGAUCGCAGAACUUUCUGUGGCUGAAAGAACUUUCUGUUGUGGACAUCUGUGACCCUCCAGAAUGGUUGGAGUGCCUGUUGAGUAGCUGACAGCUUCGGGCAUGGCUAACCCAAUCCCUUUUGCUUCGUGAUGCUUCCUGCUGUGCGGUGCGACUUUAAGCUUUUGCACCAAGGACUCAGGAUCACGUCUCUCAAACAGGCCACUUUGUGCAGGUGAAGUGAGAGGGAACACGAGAGAGCAGCCAUAAUCUCAUCGUGGCAUUUUGGCUCGCUGCCUUUUAUUUUUACAAUGAGGGGCAGGAGGGGAGAGCCCCAAAGGUUCAACUCGAAUCCCUGUUGGGGUUUCCUUUCCUGUCUUCGAUGUGUCUAGCCAGAAACGCAAGACUGACAGGAUGAUAAAACGCUGAUGCCAGGUUCGCUUGCCCAUUCAAAGACCCUACCUAAGGUAUCAGGUACCUGGGCUCUACUUUGAGGUCAACCGGACACCUCCCCUGAGGCCUUCCUGGGCUGAAGGAUAUAUCGACUCAAAAAUUCUCUCAGGUAUAGCAGCUGUUAUCUGAGCUAAGAUCAAAGUGCCCCUCUGUGAUAUAUAUAUAUAUAUAUAUAUAUAUAUAUAUAUAUAUAUAAUUGCACACAUCUUCCAAGUUGAUCUUUUUUCUCCAUAAUUCAAAUGCAUGUUGAUCGAGCCUCAUGGGGAAACAGUGGCUUUGCUGAAGAACAAGCUGGCAGAAUAUCUGUGUUGUGAAAUUUUAGUUUUGUUAGAAAACUAAAAGAAUGAAAGAAAAACCCUAGUGCAAAUUAAACACAGAAGGUAUUUACUGUACCAGAAGUAAAUAACAUUUCAUAAAUAGCAGAACUUUACAUGGUUUGAUUACUUCAGCCAAUGUUUCCAGGGUGCUGCUAGGAUUCUGUGCUCAGAGGGUGGGCCAUUGUAGCCUUACAGAGAAAGGCUUGAAAUAUUUUUAUUUUUUUAAAAAAUUGUUCUUAUUUUGAAAUCCUCGUUUCUGAUUACCGGUCCACAGAACAGUCUACCGCAUCUCGAAGCACGUAACAAAAUGCAAGUGCUACUAUAGGAUGCCAGUGAAAUUUCAGGUAAAAGAAAAUUCCACGUUAAUUUGAGAAUUUGACAAACCCACAGGUAAAUUUUGAGGAAAGCGAGGUAAGGGUUUUGAUAGGAUGUGCAGCAUUUCUUAGGCAAGUUCAGCACAUCUAGCACUGUAAAACAUUAAUAAAACUUCCCUAUACAGGAUUGCCUUCAGAUGGCUCAGGGGUUGGAUAACUCCAUACCCUCCAACAUUUCUCCAAUGAAAAUAGGGACAUCCUAAGGAAAAGCAGGACAUUCUGGGAUUAACUUUUUCUAAAAAUGUGACUUGCCACACUUUGUGAUGGCAUAACUCUCAAUAAACCCCCGUAGAGUCUUUCCAGUUACAGGCAAUAAUGAUUUUAAGCUACUGACAACAAGCGGCUGAUCAGUUCCUUCUGUUUCAGGUCGUGAUCAGAGCCAAUAAGGAGGUUAAAUAAGGCCAACUACAGGAAAGUGUGCCCCCGCUGUCCCGUAAUGGAACUGAUUUCUUGAAACACCUGCCCCCAGACGAUUGCCACCCUCCCACAGGUCCACCACCUAUGGAUCUACAACCAAGGUUUCACCGAAAGUGAAUUUCAAGUAAAAUUGGGGGUUUUCUCCCCAGCAAAAUAUGUUGGGACACUUUUAUCACUUCCAGUACUGAACUUCUGUCCUCUUCCUGAACUCCUGAAUUGUGACUCUUGCCUGCCGCUGAACCUGUGCCAUUACUUGCC